UACGAAGGGGGCUAGCGUUGCUCGGAAUGACUGGGCGUAAAGCGCACGCAGGCGGUCUGUUCAGUUUGGAGUGACAGUUCCUGGCUCAACCGGGAAAGUGCUUCGAAUACUGGCGGACUUGAGGGCUUCAGAGGGACACGGAAUUCCGGGUGGAGUGGUGAAAUGCGUAGAGAUCCGGAGGAACACCAAAGGCGAAGGCAGUGUCCUGGGGAGUACCUGACGCUCAGGUGCGAAAGCCAGGGGAGCGAACGGG
rnacentral:rRNA from 1 species